GGGCGUAAGAGCUCUAGGCGGCUUGUCACGUCGGGUGUGAAAGCCCGGGGCUUAACCCCGGGUCUGCAUCCGAUACGGGCAGGCUAGAGUGUGGUAGGGGAGAUCGGAAUUCCUGGUGUAGCGGUGAAAUGCGCAGAUAUCAGGAGGAACACCGGUGGCGAAGGCGGAUCUCUGGGCCAUUACUGACGCUGAGGAGCGAAAGCGUGGGGAGCGAACAGGAUUAGAUACCCUGGUAGUCCACGCCGUAAACGUUGGGAACUAGGUGUUGGCGACAUUCCACGUCGUCGGUGCCGCAGCUAACGCAUUAAGUUCCCCGCCUGGGGAGUACGGCCGCAAGGCUAAAACUCAAAGGAAUUGACGGGGGCCCGCACAAGCAGCGGAGCAUGUGGCUUAAUUCGACGCAACGCGAAGAACCUUACCAAGGCUUGACAUAUACCGGAAAGCGCCAGAGAUGGUGCCCCCCUUGUGGUCGGUAUACAGGUGGUGCAUGGCUGUCGUCAGCUCGUGUCG
rnacentral:rRNA from 1 species